UACGAAGGGGGCUAGCGUUGCUCGGAAUUACUGGGCGUAAAGCGCACGUAGGCGGCUUUCUAAGUCGGGGGUGAAAUCCUGGAGCUCAACUCCAGAACUGCCUUCGAUACUGGAGAGCUCGAGUCCGGGAGAGGUGAGUGGAACUGCGAGUGUAGAGGUGGAAUUCGUAGAUAUUCGCAAGAACACCAGUGGCGAAGGCGGCUCACUGGCCCGGUACUGACGCUGAGGUGCGAAAGCGUGGGGAGCAAACAGG
rnacentral:rRNA from 1 species